rnacentral:rRNA from 1 species
AGGACUAACGCUGGCGGCGUGCCUAACACAUGCAAGUCGAACGAAGUAGCAAUACUUAGUGGCAGACGGGUGAGUAACACGUAGUCAACCUGCCCUUCAAUGGGGGAUAACUAGCCGAAAGGUUAGCUAAUACCGCAUACGAUCUCUGAGUGGCAUCACUCGGCGAUGAAAGGAGUAAUCCGUUGAAGGAGGGGACUGCGUCCCAUUAGUUAGUUGGUGGGGUAAUGGCCUACCAAGACUCCGAUGGGUAGCUGGCUUGAGAGAGCGACCAGCCACACUGGAACUGAGACACGGUCCAGACUCCUACGGGAGGCAGCAGUGAGGAAUUUUCCGCAAUGGGGGAAACCCUGACGGAGCGACGCCGCGUGUGGGAGAAGGCCUUCGGGUCGUAAACCACUGUCGAGGGGGACGAGUAUUGACGGUACCCCGUGGAGGAAGCCCCGGCUAACUACGCGCCAGCAGCCGC